UACGGAGGGUGCGAGCGUUGUCCGGAAUCACUGGGCGUAAAGGGCGCGUAGGCGGCGCGGGAAGUCCGUGGUGAAAGCCCGAGGCUCAACUUCGGGUCGGCCAUGGAUACUCCUGGGCUUGAGCACUGUAGAGGUAGGCGGAAUGUGACAAGUAGCGGUGAAAUGCAUAGAUAUGUCACAGAACACCAAUUGCGAAGGCAGCUUACUAUGGUAUGAUUGACGCUGAGGCACGAAAGCGUGGGGAUCAAACAGG
rnacentral:rRNA from 1 species